rnacentral:rRNA from 1 species
UGCCAGCCGCCGCGGUAAUACGGAGGGUGCAAGCGUUAAUCGGAAUUACUGGGCGUAAAGCGCGCGUAGGCGGCUCUUUAAGUCGGAUGUGAAAGCCCCGGGCUCAACCUGGGAACUGCAUCCGAUACUGGGGAGCUAGAGUGUAGGAGAGGGAGGUAGAAUUCCAUGUGUAGCAGUGAAAUGCGUAGAUAUAUGGAGGAAUACCAGUGGCGAAGGCGGCCUCCUGGCCAAUACUGACGCUGAGGUUCGAAAGCAUGGGUAGCGAACAGGAUUAGAUA